rnacentral:snRNA from 1 species
AGCUUUGCGCAGUGGCAGUAUCAUAGCCAAUGAGGUUUAUCCGAGGCGCGAUUAUUGCUAAUUGAAGCUAUAAUCAAUAUAG